AUUGAACGCCGGCGGCAGGCUUAACACAUGCAAGUCGAGCGGAGAUGAGGUGCUUGCACCUUAUCUUAUCGGCGGACGGGUGAGUAAUGCUUAGGAAUCUGCCUAUUAGUGGGGGACACCAUUCCGUAAGGAAUGCUAAUACCUCAUACGUCUUACGGGUGACAGCAGGGGAUCUUCGGACCUUGCGCUAAUACAUGAGCCUAAGUCGGAUGAGCUAGUUGGUGGGGUAAAGGCCUACCAAGGCCACGAUCUGUAGCGGGUCUGAGAGGAUGAUCCGCCACACUGGGACUGGGAAACGGCCCAGACUCCUACGGGAGGCAGCAGUGGGGAAUAUCGGACAAUGGGCGGAAGCCUGAUCCAGCCAUGCCGCGUGUGUGAAGAAGGCCUUUUGGUUGUAAAGCACUUUAAGCGAGGAGGAGGCUACCUGGAUUAAUACUCUAGGAUAGUGGACGUUACUCGCAGAAUAAGCACCGGCUAACUCUGUGCCAGCCGCCGCGGUAAUAC
rnacentral:rRNA from 1 species